ACAUGAUACCAUGCAGACUGAAUGAAACCCGUCUACAAAAGAUAACUUAGUUACAUACGUAGUUCCUUAGUAACUUAUAAUGUAAGACAGUCGGUGUAUCUAGUCCAUGUCAUGUUUUGCAUUAGUCUCAACUCUCGAGUGAUUGAGUGAUUGUAUUUCCGUGCCAAUAAUAAACAUCAAACGACCCGUGAAAGUCAAUUACGUAGUCUAUUCCAAGUGCAUUGCAUCCUCUGUUGUCGUAUUGACUUGCUCAGAUUAGGGUUUGCUCCGUCCCGUGUUUACGAUGUUUAUUUACUACGUAAGUUAGUCUGUCACUAAAACGCGUCGAUUUGAAGAGUGUAUAUCGUCAUCACCAGCGCAAGUAACUUAACUUCAGAGUAUGUUUUGUACAGAACAAGAUUUGGACAGAGAAGCCAUCAUUAUAUACGUCACAGAUGGUCCAGCCAUCGAAAAACGGGUCUGGUGGUCGAUGCUAGUACUUACUAUGUACUAGGCUAGUGUGUAGGACGGGUUCAGUGACCGGUCUGUGCUGAGGGAACGCGUUUCACGGCUUCUUCUGAGUAUGUAGUAGUUAUGUAACUGUCCGAUCGGAAAAGCGAAGAAAGACGAGGAGGGGUAGUGUCUCAUGUUGUCUUGGUCUUAAACGUCCCGUCUGACCUGACAGACAGCCCUGUCGUGUUUGUUUUGAAAUGUCGUCGGGGCCAGAAUCAGGAUGUGAUGGGAGGUGCAUAACCGACGGUGAUCUCGCGAGUCGAGACGCCGAAUGGACGCACGAAGAGGGGGCAUGGAUUGAGUCAAUUGGAUAGCCCCCAACUCGUCGCUGCGAACUCUGAACUCAGUGUCGUAGCGUGUGUGCUGGGUAAGUUAGAGAUUCUGGGAAUAUGGAGAGAUAAGAACGAGACGACGUAGCAUCCCGCUUGGCCAAUCAGGGCGCAUAUCGCAGGCCAACAGUCACGGGACUUGGCAUCCUAGUCGCGUUUUUCGGCUUUGUUUACCUCUUGGCACGACGCGGGUUCUUUUCCCUCUCUGUAGGGUAGUUACACCCUACACUACGAGUCUUUCUGUCAACGAACAUGCGAGCACUCACCUUGAGCGACUUCUGGCAGUAGCUCAGCAAAGUCCACAAGGGCAAUCGUUUCAGCUGGCCAUGGUCCAUGCCAUGCCUGUACGAAACCCACGGAGUAGUACUACGUAAAUACUUGUAGUAACUUGUGUUGGAAAGAGAGUCCAAUCUCGAAACACCGGACGAUGGGGACCAACAGCCCAGUUAGUGGGGAAAAAAGCAAAGAAGUACGACUUUAUCUCAUGAUCAGAUUCGUCGAAUGCAAUCCGAUACGAUGAUCCUCUUGUGCCUGGGCUGCUGAUUGGUUCGUUGUGGUCGCUCGCGUGUGAUGGCCCGGACGAGAAUAGCACAUCAGACCGCCUGCUUCCAGCAGUCGCUCUAAUGGAGGUGAGCUGCGCUAGUAUGAACAAAACUCCAAACACAUGGCGCAUGAUCCCUGUCUGUGGCCAAUUAGAUGGAAUUUCGCAAAUCCCAUAAGGCUUAAGCGCUUCGAUGGUCUCUGCCGUCUGUUUGACAGCGUACAUAACGUACUACACGCACACCCCGGUUCUCCAGAUGCAGCCUGUCACAUAGCCAAGCAGAAAAUAGUUACUCGCAACACUGCCUCAAAAAGUGAUAGCAUCUACCGUAGUAUUCCUGACUAGUGCGGGGUUGAUCAGGUACAAGCCACGAGUCAGCGAUGCUCGCCAUUCUCGCCGUCGAUGUCAUGACUUGCUCAUCUCUGCACUUGCGGCGUAUGCCAUGCUGAUGGCUGAUGGGUCCGAUCGUUCUGUUCUUGCAGAUGGCCCUGUAGAUACGCCUUCUGACUCAUCCAAUCACAACAUCCAAACAUGUUUUGAUUUAGCUGAACAUACAUGACAUGACUCGAUGUCAUACAAACAUAGCAACCAUAGCAGAGAUGAGAUGGGUGCUACGUAGUACGUACGCAGCGUCCAGCCAUACGAGAUGAAGAUCGCAUUUUUUGUUUAAGCGUAUGACCUGACCGUACAUGAUGCAUCUCAUUCUUCUCGAUGGAGGGGCUCCAACUUCCAAGGCACUCGAACGCAUGUGGAGAACAGCAGACGACGAGAAGCAGGAAAGAAAAAUUUUAAGCUCGAUUGCGGAUCUGAGAGAAAUUCGAGUGGGUACGCGCUACGGAUGCCUGUGAAGGGGAUCGAGAUGUCUUGCCGAUUGUAUGUAGUACUACUGUAUUGCUAGAUCAGAUGGAUAGCGACGCUCCCCAGUUAGACUUUUGAAUGCCAAGUAGAUACCCUAAUCAGCAGGUACGUACAAUUGAGUAGCUGCGUAGAGUACGUACUCUGCAGAGGGAGAAAUAGACAGAAUGAAGAUCACAAAACCCACUUUGUUAGAAAUCUACUUAGUUAUACUACGAAGUAACAGGAAUUGCUGAAUACAGCAUUGAUCUACAUGGUAUUUCUCCUAGCACGCAGCGCAGACCUCUCAGUCCUUCCUGUAAAAGCUGUAGUAGGAGGUCAGAGCCGCCGUGAAAAUGCAAUGCUCGCAGUUCAGAACCAGCUGCUACACAUCGCACAAAGAAUAGAUUGUCAAGAUAUUUAUAUAUCCCUUAAUAUUUGACCGAAUAAACUUAGACUCGGUAAAAAGUAACACAAAGAACAAAAGAAAAAAAAAGGAAGAAAGAAAAAAAUUUUCGAGCCUAGAUACAGUGAGCCAAAGUUUUGCUGGCUCUGUUGCCGGGUUGACCAAGCCGCCUCAUUUUGUAUGGAGUACAAUGUACGGAGUACACCGUAUACCUGUAUUUUUUUUUUAGUAGAAAUCCUGAAAGACUGCAAGAAUAGCAAGAAAGCGAUUCUUUUUCUUUUCUUAUUAACAAAAGCUCAUUCUUAUCCAAAUCUAUAUAUAGGAAGUAACUAGGUGCUGAAUGGAUGUCGGGUAUUUCCUUGCAUCCAGUAUGUAGCAGCUAAUUAGCUAUUCGCUCCUUGAUUCCACUGGAGAUCCAAGGCACAACUCCAUACCUACCCGGUCGUCGUACAGUACUCCGUAACUACAUACUCUGUAGUACUACAUCCUACGGAGGAGUACGUACAUAGUCAAAGCCUAAAACCAAUAAUCAUCGCACUAACCCGUCUAGAUUGCUAGCCGUGCAAGUUUGGAGCUCCGUCAGACGUGGGCGGUUGUUGCUGAGCAGCGCGUGUCGGCCUUGACUGAGUUGGUUCUAGCCUUGUUCUCUGCCCUAUGAGACGGCUAAUCGCUCGGAAUUUGGGCGUAGCUGGUUGGCUGGCCUGAUUCGUUUAGAUUAAUUAAUCCGACGACUAGAAUAUCGUUACUACAGUGAUCGCUAAGGAGCCUCCGUCGUCAAGGAAGGACGGACUGAAAGUAAAGCCCCGUACAGGGCUGCACUCAGCUCUUGUACAAGCCAAUACGGCGGAGGGUUA
rnacentral:lncRNA from 1 species